AAACGCAUCGUUAUUGCUCAACUGUACAUGGGAAUGGCCUACAUUUACCUAUACUAUACAUAAUUGGUGGUCUGUGUUGCAUCGAAAAGGAGGUCAAGUUGUCAACAUGAUGAGUGAAGAAACGGAUGUGGUAGAUUUUGGGGGUGACCGGGUGGUGAGACCGGGGACUGCAGCGUUGAGGAGAGGGGCGAACUCGGCGGCGGAGUGGAGGCCCCAGUGCAGAAAACAGGCUACAUGUGAUCCUGUUUAGCAGAGAGAAACCACUUCCUGUCCUCGACUGUCAAGCUCUUCCAUGAUGACCUGGUUAUGUGGCUUAUCGAAAAAGAUCAUUGCAGAAUCCAUUGGCCUACCUGAAUGCAAAAGUGGUCCUGCAUGCAAAAGUGAUCCAGAACAGCGCAUCACAGGUGGCAUGCAUUGGCUGGAGCAGAAGAUGCUGAAAGUCAGUGAAACAAACCACAUAUCGACACUUAGCCCCUAACAAUAACACAGAGCCUCUGUUAUAAUCUUUUUUUGUCACCAAAAUGCUAAUAUCUAAGUCUUUAUCGGUUAUACAUUAGAGUCCUUGCAUUAUCACAGCCAGUGGCAUGCACAGACAUUUUAGGGGACAGGUGCUGAAGGUGGGGGCAUGUGGAACUUCCGGCUGCCUUACUAGGCUAUGGAGGCUAUGUAUUAUAUUGGGACAUUGUUGUCACAUGUUU